GGGGGCGAAAAUGGCUUCGACGGAGGUUUGGAGACCAUAGUAGCAGGCAGUUGUGAGGGGCAACUUAAAAACUCUCAAAAAAAAUAAACGACAAUAAUAAUUUAGCUUACGCAGCAUAAAAUAGCGUCAUCUAUCUAAAGAAAACCUACGGCUUUUGAUAGGUGUCAAACUAAGUAGGAAACGAAGCUCCGGAAGGCAUCUUACGGAGGGGGUAUUUUUGGUGAUAUAUCGAUUUUAUUUUGACUAUUUAGAGAAAUCGACGAAAAAAUAAAAUAGUCUGAGCUUGGAGAAGCUAUCUUUGAAGGGCUUUCGGACGCGGGUUCGACUCCCGCCGCCUCCACCA
rfam:Clostridiales bacterium KA00134 genomic scaffold Scaffold6, whole genome shotgun sequence.